rnacentral:rRNA from 1 species
CAUGUAGGCGGUUGUUUAAGUCUGAUGUGAAAGCCCUGGCUCAACCCAGGAAGUGCAUUGGAUACUGGGCAACUUGAGUACGGGAGAGGAAAGUGGAAUUUCGAGUGUAGGGGUGAAAUCCGUAGAUAUUCGAAGGAACACCAGUGGCGAAGGCGGCUUUCUGGACCGAUACUGACGCUGAGAUGCGAAAGCGUGGGGAGCAAACA